rnacentral:rRNA from 1 species
CCUUCCGUAGGUGAACCUGCGGAAGGAUCAUUACCGAGUGAGGGCCCUCUGGGUCCAACCUCCCACCCGUGUCUAUCGUACCUUGUUGCUUCGGCGGGCCCGCCGUUUCGACGGCCGCCGGGGAGGCCUUGCGCCCCCGGGCCCGCGCCCGCCGAAGACCCCAACAUGAACGCUGUUCUGAAAGUAUGCAGUCUGAGUUGAUUAUCGUAAUCAGUUAAAACUUUCAACAACGGAUCUCUUGGUUCCGGCAUCGAUGAAGAACGCAGCGAAAUGCGAUAAGUAAUGUGAAUUGCAGAAUUCAGUGAAUCAUCGAGUCUUUGAACGCACAUUGCGCCCCCUGGUAUUCCGGGGGGCAUGCCUGUCCGAGCGUCAUUGCUGCCCUCAAGCACGGCUUGUGUGUUGGGCCCCCGUCCCCCUCUCCCGGGGGACGGGCCCGAAAGGCAGCGGCGGCACCGCGUCCGGUCCUCGAGCGUAUGGGGCUUUGUCACCUGCUCUGUAGGCCCGGCCGGCGCCAGCCGACACCCAACUUUAUUUUUCUAAGGUGACCUCGGAUCAGGUAGUGCCCCUA